UACAGAGGGUGCGAGCGUUAAUCGGAAUUACUGGGCGUAAAGCGUGCGUAGACGGUUAUUUAAGUCGGGUGUGAAAGCCCCGGGCUCAACCUGGGAAUUGCAUUCGAGACUGAAUAGCUAGGGUACGGUAGAGGGAAGCGGAAUUUCCGGUGUAGCGGUGAAAUGCGUAGAUAUCGGAAGGAACAUCAGUGGCGAAAGCGGCUUCCUGGACCAAUAUUGACGCUGAGGAGCGAAAGCCAGGGGAGCAAACGGG
rnacentral:rRNA from 1 species